AAUAGUUCCAUAAAGUUCUCUGGCUAAAGAUCAGUGUCACAUCUGUCAGGCAAUGUUGAUAAUCUUAUUAAAAGUGAUGUUUCCACUGUGCUUAAUGUUUUUCUUCUUCUUUCUGUCCCUUGGCAGUUCCUUGAAGGCUUUGAUAAUCAGGGUAGAAGCAGAAGAACAUAAAGGACAGUGGA